rnacentral:lncRNA from 1 species
ACAGGCCCCGCAGCGAGGGCGUGGCUCCCAGGUUCCACGUCCUGCGAGAGGGGACCAUGGCCUGGGGCUCAGCAGCCUCCUCGGGGCACCGGGCAGCCUGCGGAGAGAACAAGGGGAGAUAAGCUUGAAGACCGCGGACCAGCACAACUGCACCUCGGGCAGAGCCAGCCAUCUGGAAGGGUCUACGCCCCACCGGUCGCUGGUUACCCAGGGCAGCAGCUCCAACUGCACUGUCCCCCAAAGACCCUAGGGCUCGCAGGAUGAAAUGGGGCCUGCUGCCUUUUGGGGGUAUUUGUUUCCGAAUACGGAGGCUCCGAAGUGCGAAAGGAGCAUGUCAGCUGUGCCUGAGACUCCACACCUGAGCCCUUCCGAGCUGAUCCCUUCCCAGCUGAGCCUGGAGCCUGAGGACAAGCCAGGUCCUAGCCCCACACAGAGGAGGCACCGGGAGUCAGCAGCAUCUCCAAACCUCCCACCUGGCAUCCUGCGUGUGUCCAGCAACUCCCUGCACCCGGGCACCACUCACGCAGGUGGGCUUGGCAUCCUCACAGCCUCUGCAGCACGUGCCUUCAGAGGGAAGAGACCCGGGGACUCUGGAGACUCAAGGCAUCUCC